rnacentral:rRNA from 1 species
UACGUAGGUGGCAAGCGUUGUCCGGAGUUAUUGGGCGUAAAGCGCGCGCAGGCGGUGCGGUAAGUCUCUGGUGAAAGCGCUCGGCUUAACUGGGCGAGGGCCGGGGAGACUGCCACGCUGGAGGGGAGCAGAGGCGAGUGGAAUUCCGGGUGUAGUGGUGAAAUGCGUAGAGAUCAGGAGGAACACCGGUGGCGAAGGCGGCCCACUGGGCAGUCACUGACGCUGAGGCGCGAAAGCUCGGGGAGCGAACAGG